GGAAUAUAAGAAACCGUCUAUUAAGUUUUAACUAAAAAAGCUAAGAACCGGCUCUUAGAUAAGAUAUUUAAGAGCCGGUUCUUAGCUUUUUUAGUUAAAAGUUAAGAGCUUAUAUUCC
rfam:Brassica oleracea var. oleracea cultivar TO1000 chromosome C1, whole genome shotgun sequence